AGUCCUCGUGGUCGUAGCCACAACAGGCGCCAUGCCAAACGUGGGAUGGAGGAGCUGCCGGAGUAGGGGAGGUUGGCUUUAUUCGCCCGCUCCGUUUUCUUUAUUCGCCCAAUAUUUAUCCCCCUAUGGUGUGAGACGCCCCCUCCUGCUCUCCUGUCCAAGCUAAAUCGGCAGCCGCUAGGCUCCUUACAUGUCGCAGCUCAGACGAUCGAGAAGGAGAAUUGAGAAGGAUAGAUCAGGUGGCGACUGUGAGGGACAGAGAAGGCCUGAAAACAUGGUGGCGGCUGGGUCGACGGGAGAGAGAAGGGGCGUGCUGUGGCGGCCUCCAGGCGCCCGAAUCUCCCUUAUUCGCUCCUCCAGGUCACUGCCGUGUCGCCUACCGUCUCCCUCGGACAGGUUCGUUGCAAACUUCCAACAGAUAAUGGCGAGGAGACGCAAUUCCCUAGCAGCAAUUUUCUUUUAGAGACCUGCUGAUGAUUUGCGUGGGGAUGUUGUUGGCCAUGUGUGUUAGGGUCACAGCUCAUGGGAGAGAUGUCAGAGCUCAGUCAGUUAUAUAGGGGACUACAUCGAGGUCGAGGUACACAUGUACUGAACGUUCAUCCUGUGUAGUUGUCGUAGCAUGACCAGGUAUAGUAGGGAAGUACCGAAGUAGCAUUUGU